CGCCACUUCCGCCCGAGGAGCAUGCUUCCGCAGAAGGAGAGUGUCUUUUUGAGAAUGGCCGUCGUCUCGAUGGUCCUGGCAAGUCUGUUGAUUCGUCAACAUCGAGCCACGCCUUAAUCGAUUCGUUCAAAUAACAGUCUACAGAGAAGCAAAGGUGAAAUGGCAACGAGGCUCCUUUGAAACGCGUUGAUCUCUUAAUCCACGAUUGGCCAGAGAAGGAUACCGAGUGUAUGUUGUAUCCUUCCACAAAGGUGUGAACGGUAAAUCGGCGCUCCUUCUUUGCGUACGUCGCGGGAAGCAAUUAUUCA